rnacentral:lncRNA from 1 species
GACUUUUUGUAAUAUCCGGGGUCAUGACAUGCGGCGGCGGAAACGGCUACUGCUUAUUGGGUUUGGACUGCACAUUGGAUGCAGACUUCUUGCCAGACCCGCAAGGCCACUGCGAGGGCCUCAAGAACGCCUUCACGCCCUCCGCCUACUUCUCCUGCUGCAAAGCAAACGAUAUGAGACCCACAGGGCCGUGGACCCACCCCACCACUACCGAUGGACCCAAAACCCCCAAACCCACCCCGACUAACGCCUCUUACACUCAAAUCAACUCCACUCCAGUUUCUACCACCCCGUUAGCUCUAGGCGGGAAUACGACUGAAAACACCAACCCACCCGAAAGUACACACACAGCCGCAAACACCCAGACUACAAGUCUACCUACAACAGAAACACCAGGAGCCCCAGCCACAAAGCAGGGUGAUGACAUUACAGAGAUGACAUCUGAUGCCACCGAACAAUCGACUUUCGAAGGGGAGUUCUCCUACCCUCCUCUCCGAGAGAAUUCCAUAGACAUGGAGGAUAGAGAGGGUAGCGGGUCGCGGAAGACGGGAGGGAUGAGCGAAGGGACGACGGCGAAGGUCACGAUAUCGAUGCACGAGCCGGACUUAACCACGAGCCCAAGAACGGAUGUGCCAGAAGAAACCUACGUGGACGAUGACGCAGAUGGACAGGGGCCCGAAGAGAUGCCAGAGGAACAAGACACUCUUUUGUUCGACCAAGAUGAGGAGCAAGAGAACGAGGAAGGAGAAGAGGAGGAUGAGCAAGAAGAGGACUUGUUUCAUCGCGAAGAACCGGCAAGGCGACCGGAAGUGAACGAGAUCGAAAAGGAGAUUCUUAAAGUCCGACCGGAUAUGAGCGAAGUUCGCCCGGGUGUGAGUAAAGGCCAAGAGAUAUUGAGGAUACAUGGGCCAAACGACAUAUGGCCGGAAAUGGUCCGGCCUUCGUCGGGGAUGACGGAAUAUCACCCGGUUCAAACUCAAGUACACCCACAGGCUGGCGCCCGACCGAUGGUGCAAAAAGAUCAAACUCGACCGGAAACACCAGAAAAGGAAAUGCUCCCGGUAGUAACUCAAUCUCCCCGAAGACAACUCAUAUCCGACCGCUGAUUACUGAGAACCGUGUCUCGAACGAUUCCGAGAUAAAUAUAGUGCGGAUCCGGCCGACGAUGACGGAGGUGCGACCGGAAACAGACGAUUCCGAAGUCUACGGCACGCGAAUCGACCUCCCGAAGAAGGAUCUCGUAGAAGCUGACUUGAUCGACGAGUACGCCGAAGAGAACGAAUACGAAAUGGACUUGGUGAGCCCCGAGCGUCCAUCAAUGAUCGAAAUACCAUACAGCACGCAGAGUCCGAAGGAAACAAGCACAUAUUCAACCACAAAUACAAUCAGCGGGCAUAAGACUAGAAUAGGAUAUCCAAUGGAACAUCCGAUAAUAGGACAUCCAAUGGAACAUCCAAUAAUAGGACAUCCAAACGGCGAUCCCAUGCAUCAACAGGACUUGCAAAGAUAUCCCGUCAAGUCUGGAAUAGGACAUCCGAUUGGAGGACAUCCAUCCGGUAACCCUAUUCAUCAACAAGACAUGCAAAAAUAUCCGCUCAACGGCCAUGAGUCUGGAAUAGCGUAUCCAAUGAUACAUUCAACGGGAGGACAUUCAACUGGUGAUCCCAUCCAUCAACAGGAUAUGCAUAAAUAUCCGCUCAACGGGCAUGAGUCAGGAGAAGGAUAUCCAAUAGGACAUCCAAUGGGAGGACAUCCCACCGGUGAUCCCAUCCAUCAACAGGAUUCGCAAAGGUAUCCAAUGGUAAAUGGUUCAUCGCAUCGGCCGGUGGAGAGUCCAGUUUACCACGAGUCUCCUGAUCGACCCCAUUCGGCGAAUCCGAUGGGUGGACAUCUGUCUCUAACUGGCGAUUCUCAUCUAGAUGGUGGAGGGUAUCCAACUGUGAAGGGUCAACCGGAGGCUCCAGAUUACCAUGAGUUGACUCCAGAUCAUGAGAGACCCAUGGCGACCAUGGUUCCAGGACACUCCUCAACGUCGGAGACUCCGCCGGAGAGCAGCACCGAGGACUUGGCCGUGUCGAAGACGUACCUGAACUACAUCCGCGACAAGAUCAACACGACGAUCGCGGAGAUCUCGACGAGCCUGAACAACCGCUUCCCAGGACUCCGGCCGGGGAUCAUCUCGAACACGAUCUCGGACGUGGUGACGGCGACGCAGAGGCCGUUCGUCCAGGCGCAGUCCCCGGUCCUGGGCGACGGCUCCGGCGAGCUGUUCAACCGCGACAACGCGAGCGCGGGCGCCUUCGCACGCCCCCGCAACUGCGACAUGGUCCGCGACGUCGAGUGGCGCUUCCAGGAGGACGGCCAGACCAUGUGCUACGGGAUCCUCAUCGAUGCCGUCCGCAUUCUCACGUCUGCCUCCUGCGUUUUGAAAUUAUUCGAGUCAAAUAUGGCGGGAGUGUCAGCCAUUUCUAAUAGGGGUAACAACCACAGUAUAAACGGAGUGACAGUGCACGAAAAUUUUCAGGCUGUCAGCAAUCCUCAGGCAAUGAAUAAAAAUGAUCUCGGUAUCGUAACUUUAAAAGCGACAGUUCCUUACAAUGACCAGUGUAUUCCGAAGCUACCUUUCAAGGGGCAAAUCUUAAGGAAUAUGAAGUGUAGUUCGACGCACAACGAAGAAGAAUCAGAAUAUAAGGCAAAACCAAUGUUCAGCCGGUACAGUAGUAAUUACGUAAACCGAGAUUCACCGCUGUGCUCUCAUUCUCUUAGUACACUUGAAGUGAAUCGGACGCCGUACCUAACCUUAGCGUGUCAAAAUGCAGUAACGGCGGAUACCAGAAAAAUUUCUCAGGACACCAGUGGAAGUGGUGUCAUGUGUGACGGAAUUUUGGCGGGCAUUGAACUUUCCUCGGGGCUCGGAGCAAAAGCUUACACGCCUUUGAGCAUGUAUGUCGACUGGAUAAACAAGAACAUCAAAGGACCCAGCAUAUCGCAAAGGUUCCGGGUUGGCUACUACAAUUUCAAGAAGUGAUUCUCAAAGGAAGAGGUGGAACAAAUUACGAACCAAACAGGGUCGAGCUCGAACGAGAAGUAUCGUAAUAGGAUUGGACGUCAUUUUGCGUUAAGGAAUUACAAUUUCUGACUCUUACGUAGAAACACCUUUCUCCACAAGGAACUAACAAAAUAUACGUGUUUUUAAAACAAGUUAGGAAUAGUAGAUCCCUAUUGCAAAAGUGAAUAGUCCAUUUAGUAGGGAUCUACCCCUGCAGGAAAUUUUAAAGAAUCAACGUAGUUACUUUUAGGGUCGCAUUCAUAGGCGUUCCUUUAACAGCUCCUUUCCCUCGAGGGCCCGAUAUGAUUAACACUAUGAUUAAGAGAGGUUUAACGAGACCUUGGACAUAUCAUUAUGAAAUGGACAAUAUUUGCGAGCCUCGAGUAAAAUUUAAUAUUGUAAAUGCAAACCUAUCUUAAAUUUUACAAAAUUUGCACAAUAAAUUCUUAUGUAUCGAAUUUUACUCGAGAUUUAUAAAAAAUCGUCAGUUUUAAGAUUCCUCAAAAUCCCUUCCAUCCUGAUUAUGGAGAUUGAUAGACAAAACUAUGGACAAAGAAGACGAACGAGAUAUGGAGGGAUCUUAUUGGUGGAAAGGGUGGUUGCAAUGGACAAAGGAGGUAGGCAAUAUACUAACCAACGGCAAUCUACGAGAGACCCUAUAGUUGGUCCAUGAUUUUCUCCUUUAGUCCACAGGAACCAGGGAUUUCAACCAAUAGGAUCGCUCCACACUCCCGAUUUUUUCUUUGUCUAUCACUUUGUCUAUCAAUUUCAACAGUUAGCCCACUUUAUGGGAAUUCCUUUGGAAAGGAGCUGUUCAAGGAAAGACUAUGAAUACGGGCCUUGGUGCAUUUUAAAAUACGUCGUUUUUUCAAAAUUUCAAUAGGAGAUAGGUAUUUUCCUCUAAUUUACUUCUAUUGAGGUCGAAAUUUCAAGAUAUUACUUGCCUUGAAACUGCCUUGACUUGAAAUCUGCUCUAAAUAUUUUCGCGUGCAGGAAAUCCAAUAAAUAUUAGAAUGUGCUCUUAAGGCCAUUUCAAGUCAGGAUGUUUCAGGGCGAGUACGUUGCGAAAUUGCGGAGUUACUAUGGCUCCUCUUAGCACAAUGUAGACCAAAAAUUGGACCGCAUUUUGCAAUCAGGAACAGGUAUAAUCAGUGUAUUGCAAUGUUGCUAUCACCUUGCAACCUCUUUUAUCUUGCGAGAAAAACAUACCAAUCCAAAAAUUCUCUAUUAGUGCCCUAAAAUUAUAAUUGAAUGAGAGCAGGUAUUGUACUAUAUAUUUAAUUCAUCUAAACUGCUCUCAGUCAAUUUAUUACUUAUUAAUAAUAAUAGAAAAAUUGCACAAUCUGAGCGACAACGCAAUUCUGGUAGUUUCUUUUGUGCAAAAUGCAGUCCAAUUGAGCUAACAUUCCUUUUCCUAGAGAAUUACGAGUAAUGGUCAAAGUGCGAAACGAAGUAUCUCCGUUUGUGACAUUGCGCACUUCCUGUCAUACUUUAUUUUUCCUUUGGAAAACAAAUCAACGUAUUUUCUUGAGUUUUCAUCUCUGUUAGCAAAAUAUUAUGUAUAAAUAUCAAUCUAAAAAGUUGGUUUGUUUUUCUUGGAAAAACAGUAGAAGCGGACAUUCUGAGACAUCCCAAUGUAGAUACGUGGUUUUGUACUUUGGCCAUUGAUAUCCCUGUAAAUAAGUCACAAUUUAUAUAAUAACUGGACCGAGUUUAAAAGAAAGAAACUAGAUGCUUUACAAUGUACGGUACCGUCCGAGCGGUUGCAUAGUUUUCUCUUCAUGGUGAAAAUCUUUGAAAGCAUGAAAUAAACUGAACUUUUUUAUUUUCUCUUUUAAAUAGGAUUCUUAUCGUGAAAAAUAAAAAAUGGCAAACAAAAUCAGGCUCACCUUCCAGAUGAAGGGAGACACACGAUCAAAUCAGCAUUGAAAUGUACACGGUUCUUUCUUUCUAAACACACACAACCCGUUCAAUAUGUGAUAUUUGAGGAUCCUGUCAAAACUAUUUUGUAGUAACUUCACAACUGUUCACAGUUAUUAUUCUAGGGCAUUCCAUUGAAGAAAAGUAAAUGAAUAAAUAAAUAACUCUGCUAAAUUUCUUGAAAAUCUUGAAGUUGCCAUCAAAAACUGCGAGAGGGCCUCUGUUAGCCGUCCAGUGUCGAUCAAGAUCAUAGUAUACACGUGUACAUUGAAGAUGUUUUACCUAAUUUUUUAUAACUUUAAAGAUCUGACAGUAUAGUUAUCUCCGUUAGUUCUAAUCACCAUAUGCUCAAAUAUUGAAAUGAAAUAGAAUUUGAAUUUCAAUGAAAGAGAUAAAUCGACUAAACAAUAUGCAAAUGAUUAAAAGAAAAAAUGUCUGGUAAAAGCUGCAUGAGGACAUUGGUGCAUCAAUACAUUAACGUUCAGAAUUAACCUUCUCAAAAUUCAAUUAUAUUGUAUUCGUAGUAUGGAUUCACGACUAUCUAAAAUAUUUGGAGCGUUUCUGAACGCCGUCUCCAGACACUCUUACUAAAUUACACUAGUUUUACUCGGUCCAGAGAUCAUUCGUUUGUUUUGUAAAUAACUGGUGCCAAAAAUUGUGAUUGUGCUUUAGACCUAAGAAGAAAUAAAUCUUUUUAUCUUGGUUUUUACUUCUUUCUCAUGCAACUCUAUGAAAGGAAAUAUGAUAGGGGUUUCUCACCCAGAUUAGGGUGAAAUAUAUUUUUCUUUGUUUUUGUUUUUCUGUUCAAAACUUUUCAUAUCAGACGGCAAAGUAGAUGUGAAAGGUUAUAUUUCGUCAUUUCUCCAACGAAAAAACGUCAGGAAAUUUCAAUGUUGCCAAAUUUCCUCUUACUAUAAUUGCGUUUUUACUAGGAGAAUCUUAGGACUUUCUAGCAUAAAAUUUCUCUGAUUUUUCCUCUCAUCUCGUGCAAAAAUCACACAAAUUUCGCCCAAAAAUUGCACAAGUACGUCCUUCUCAAAAAUUGAACUGUUUGAAUCAAUUUUGUAACUUUGGAAUGGAAUUGCGUUCCUUCGUUCGGAAAAACGACGAUUUAACCGAAUGCUCGUUUGGACUGCAUUUUGCAAUUUGGACCUAUAAAUUCUGGCUCAUCUGAAAAAACACUUAUGUGCAUAGGGGAACUAAUGGCACAUACGUCGUUUUUAAAACGGGCUAGAAUUUAUAGUUCCAAAUUGCAAAAUGUUGUCCAUUUGAAUAUAAUUUAGAGCAGCUCACUCCCAGGAAAGAACUUCAGAGUUUCUACCUGAUGCUUUGUCCAACCGUCUAAAUACCAAAAGGCCAAAGU